UACGAAGGGUGCAAGCGUUACUCGGAAUUACUGGGCGUAAAGCGUGCGUAGGCGGUUUGUUAAGUCCGUUGUGAAAGCCCUGGGCUCAACCUGGGAAUUGCAGUGGAUACUGGCGAGCUAGAGUGCGGUAGAGGAUGGUGGAAUUCCCGGUGUAGCGGUGAAAUGCGUAGAGAUCGGGAGGAACACCCGUGGCGAAGGCGGCCAUCUGGACCAGCACUGACGCUGA
rnacentral:rRNA from 1 species